GACGAACGCUGGCGGCGUGCCUAAUACAUGCAAGUCGAACGCUUCUUUCCUCCCGAGUGCUUGCACUCCAUUGGAAAGAGGAGUGGCGGACGGGUGAGUAACACGUGGGUAACCUACCCAUCAGAGGGGGAUAACACUUGGAAACAGGUGCUAAUACCGCAUAACAGUUUAUGCCGCAUGGCAUAAGAGUGAAAGGCGCUUUCGGGUGUCGCUGAUGGAUGGACCCGCGGUGCAUUAGCUAGUUGGUGAGGUAACGGCUCACCAAGGCCACGAUGCAUAGCCGACCUGAGAGGGUGAUCGGCCACACUGGGACUGAGACACGGCCCAGACUCCUACGGGAGGCAGCAGUAGGGAAUCUUCGGCAAUGGACGAAAGUCUGACCGAGCAACGCCGCGUGAGUGAAGAAGGUUUUCGGAUCGUAAAACUCUGUUGUUAGAGAAGAACAAGGACGUUAGUAACUGAACGUCCCCUGACGGUAUCUAACCAGAAAGCCACGGCUAACUACGUG
rnacentral:rRNA from 1 species